rnacentral:rRNA from 1 species
AGAGUUUGAUCAUGGCUCAGGAUAAACGCUGGCGGCGUGCCUAACACAUGCAAGUCGAACGCCCUGCGCAAGCAGGGAGUGGCGGACGGGUGAGGAACACGUGGGUAUCUACCUUCAGGUGAGGAAUACCGGCGAGAAAUCGCCGACAAGACCGCAUACGCUCCCGAAAGGGAGGAAAGUCGGAAGACGCCUGAAGAUGA